UAAAUAAAUAAAAGUCAUUGAGAUCGACAAGCAGAUCCCACAGGAAAAUAAAUUAAUGCAAACAAAAUAACAAUAAAAAAAUAAAAAUAAAAAAAGUUGGGCGCAAAUUAGUCAUAUAUAAAGGGGUGAAAAUAAAAAUAAAAUUAUUUACAUUCUCCCCCCUCAAGAAAUUUCUCCUUCUUCUUUCUUCCUUCUUCUUCUUCUUCCGUCAUCUUCUUCUCUGUAAUAAUUCACUUCAGCACACAAUACUGGACGAGAUUCCGCCGUAAAUCCUCCUCCAAUGCUAGGAGACUCCGCUACUUCCGGCGGCGGCGGCGGCGCCACAACCGCCACUCCUCCUCAUUUCCAUCACCACCACCACCACCAGCAGCCGCAGCACAAUCCGAGUACCAAUCCUCCGAUUAAUUCAUCAGCAGCUCAGUUUGCAGCUCCGGCGGCGGCCGAUGCAGGGCAGCAUGUCGGCUCGAGCUCAGGCGGCGAGGAGGAUAGAUUCGGCGGGGGGGGGGGGGGGG
rnacentral:lncRNA from 1 species